UCUUGGUCAUUUAGAGGAAGUAAAAGUCGUAACAAGGUUUCCGUAGGUGAACCUGCGGAAGGAUCAUUACUGAAUUGUCAACAAGAGCUGUUGCUGGCCCUUCUGCAUAGGGAGGCAUGUGCAUGCUCUGUUCACACAUCCACUUACACCUGUGCACAUUUCUGUAGUUCUGUGGCUGGGGGGGCCUCUGUCCUUCCGCUGUGGUUCUAUGUUUUUAUCACACACACUGUAACAAAGUCUCAUGGAAUGUAUGUCGCGUUUAACGCAAUAAAAUACAACUUUCAGCAACGGAUCUCUUGGCUCUCGCAUCGAUGAAGAACGCAGCGAAAUGCGAUAAGUAAUGUGAAUUGCAGAAUUCAGUGAAUCAUCGAAUCUUUGAACGCACCUUGCGCCCUUUGGCUAUUCCGAAGGGCAUGCCUGUUUGAGUAUCAUGAAUACCUCAACUCUCACAGCUUGCUGUGAUGAGCUUGGACUUUGGAGGUUUUGCUGGCCUGCGUUCAGCUCCUCUCAAAUGAAUUAGCCUGCCAGUGUUCGGUGGUGCCAUGGGUGUGAUAACUAUCUACGCUUGUGGUUUUCCAUCAGAUAACCUUCAGCAAUGGGGUUCACUGGAGCUCACAAAUGUCCCUCUUCAGUAGGGACAACUUUGACCAUUUGAUCUCAAAUCAGGUAGGACUACCCGCUGAACUUAAGCAUAUCAAUA
rnacentral:rRNA from 1 species